AACUCAAGGUUAAGACACGAAUUCAUUAAUACUCUCACUUAAUUAUUAUAGAUCUUGAAAUAAAGUAUAGUUUUUUUUAUUUUAUUUUAUUCUUUUUAUAUAUCCACCGGCAAAACGAGAGAUCACUGAGAACAAAAGCUCUUUGUUAUUCAUCUCUUCAUUCCUUUCUUCUUCUUCUUCUUCUUCUUCCUCAGCUCUUAGAAUUCGAAUCAGUAUAAAAGACGUGACUUUGUGGCAAACCCAUUUACGAUUUAUCGUAUUGAGCGGGAAUCUCAAAUUUUGAUUGGUGAUCGGGAAAUCUCCAAUGCGGUCUACGAGAAUUCCACAAGGAAGAAGAAGAACAGCGACAAGGAACCAAUCAGAGAAGAAGGAGGCUAGAUCGGGAGAUCGGAGAGGAGGAAUCUGAUCUGAUGUUGUGUUUGGGAUUGUUACGAAUUAGGGUUUUCGAAUUCGUCGUCGUAGUGGUGGUGGGGAGGCACGAUCAAUGAUGCAGCUUCACAUAUCGCCUAGCAUGAGAAGCAUCACGAUCUCGAGCAGCAAGGUCGCAGCUCGUCACAUCUCUUACCGAACUCUCUUCCACACCAUCUUGAUCCUCGCCUUCUUGUUGCCUUUCGUCUUCAUCCUCACCGCUCUCGUUACCCUCGAAGGUGCCAACAAGUGCUCCUCCAUUGAUUGUUUAGGGAGGCGGUUAGGUCCACGUCUUCUUGGUAGGGUAGAUGAUUCAGAGAGACUAGCUAGAGACUUUUACAAAAUCCUUAACGAAGCAAGCACUCAAGCCAUUCCAGAUGGUUUGAAGCUUCCAGAUUCUUUUAAUCACCUUGUUUCGGAUACCAAGAACAACCACUAUGAUCCCAAAACAUUUGCUCUUGUCCUGCGUGCCAUGAUGGAGAAGUUCGAGCGGGACAUUAGGGAAACCAAAUUUGCAGAGCUAACGAACAAGCACUUCGCAGCAAGCUCCAUCCCCAAAGGCAUACACUGUCUCUCCCUAAGACUGACGGACGAAUACUCCUCCAACGCUCACGCUCGUCGUCAACUACCUUCACCAGAGCGUCUCCCUCUCCUUUCAGAUAACGCUCACCACCAUUUCAUCCUCUCCACCGACAAUAUAUUGGCUGCAUCGGUCGUGGUCUCCUCCGCAGUGCAGUCAUCUUCAAACCCUGAGAGAAUCGUCUUCCACAUCAUCACAGACAAGAAGACCUACGCCGGUAUGCAUUCGUGGUUCGCCCUCAACUCUGUGGAUCCUGCUAUAGUGGAAGUUAGAGGUGUUCAUCAGUUUGACUGGCUGACGAGAGAGAAUGUUCCGGUUCUGGAAGCUCUGGAGAGCCAUAACGGUCUCAUGAACUAUUACCAUGGGAGUCAUAUCGCUGGGGCAAACCUCAGUGAAACAACUCCGAGGAGAUUUGCUUCCAAGUUGCAGUCUAGAAGUCCUAAAUACAUAUCUUUGCUCAACCAUCUUAGAAUCUAUAUACCGGAGCUUUUUCCGAACUUGGACAAGGUGGUGUUCUUAGACGAUGAUGUAGUUGUUCAGAGAGACUUGGCUCCGCUUUGGGAUAUUGAUCUUGGUGGUAAGGUCAACGGAGCAGUGGAGACUUGCAGGGGUGAAGAUGCAAGUGUGAUGUCAAAGAGGUUAAGGAACUACUUCAAUUUCUCUCACCCGCACAUAGCAAAGCAUUUGAAUCCUGAAGAAUGCGCUUGGGCGUAUGGAAUGAAUGUAUUCGAUCUAAAGGCUUGGAGAAAGACGAACAUCAGAGAAACGUAUCACUCAUGGUUAAGAGAGAAUCUGAAGUCGAAUCUGACAAUGUGGAAGCUUGGAACGUUGCCUCCUGCUCUUAUUGCGUUUAAGGGUCACGUCCAUAUUAUAGACUCGUCAUGGCAUAUGCUUGGUUUAGGCUAUCAGAGCCAGACCAACGUAGAGAGUAUCAGGAAAGCGGCAGUGAUCCAUUACAAUGGGCAAUCAAAGCCGUGGCUGGAGAUUGGUUUCGAGCAUCUCCGGCCGUUUUGGACAAAAUACGUCAACUACUCGAAUGAUUUCAUCAAGAACUGUCACAUCUUGGAGUAGCAAAAGACGAAACUUUCAGAUGGGAUUAUAUUGAAGGUAACUACGGGUGUAAGAGACAGAGGAAGAUAUUAGGAAGAGAAGAGAUAAAAACAGGAGCAGAGCAGUGCAGAGCAAAGGGGAUGAUGCUACUGCUGCUGCAGGUGCAUAAGAGAAAGGGAGAGAUAAAAAAAGAUUCAUUCUUUAUGUAGGAUAGAAGGUUGAGCAUUUUCAUUGGCGUGCAUAUAAGAUGGGAAGAAGGAGAGAAAGGAAUGGGAGCAUUUGGAAGCAUUUGAUUAUUAAGAUCCCAUAACUAUUGAAGUAGUAUUCAAAAGGUGAUCUGAAACAGAACAAAUAUGUCUGUUUAUGUUUUGGACAUGGAUUUUAACAACAACAACAAAAAGUGCAAGAACAGAGUACAGUUAAAAUAGCUUUGGGAGAUUCAAAUUAUCUUCUUCAAUAUUUUCUUUCCUGUAAUUGUUUUGGGUGAGCUUUUUGAUUGCUUGAGGUUUGGUUUGAAAUGUAAUUCUGAUUCUUAACAGUGGAAUCAUAGAUAACAUUUUCAAAUCUGCUGUCAAAACUCUUGAGAUAAAUUACUGCAGAAUAAGAAACUGAGAGUGGAUUAA